GACGUAGGGCGCAAGCGUUGUCCGGAUUUAUUGGGCGUAAAGAGCUCGUAGGCGGCUUGUCGCGUCGACUGUGAAAACCCGCGGCUCAACCGUGUGGUCUGCAGUCGAUACGGGCAGGCUAGAGUUCGGUAGGGGAGACUGGAGUUCCUGGUGUAGCGGUGAAAUGCGCAGAUAUCAGGAGGAACACCGAUGGCGAAGGCAGGUCUCUGGGCCACUACUGACGCUGAGAAGCGAAAGCAUGGGGAGCGAACAGG
rnacentral:rRNA from 1 species